rnacentral:lncRNA from 1 species
CUGGAAAUGAUUCUGAUAGUGGUUUUGGGUUUCAGAGUGAAAACACCAUGGAUCAGAGCCCUAACAAUCCAGGAAGACUGCAUAAAGGAAGUCCCAUAACCAGCGAGGAUCCUUUUUGCCCUUCGGCUCGUCCUUUUUUCUGGCAUCUGGAAUUCAGGCAACAAUCUCUGACAUUCAGAGAAGAGACCAUGAAGCAAUACAAUUUCUUAUGAAACUAAACAUGUGACUACUGU